GCGGCGGUACAGUUUCUCUAUUGCCUUUCGAGGCUCAAGAGUCACUUACUUCUUUAAUGGUUAAAUGCAGGUUCGAAUCCUGCCCGCCGUA
rnacentral:tRNA from 1 species